AUGGCCCGCCGCAAGGUCCCCAUGAGGCUCAUCGAGAAGGCGCGGGCGCGCGCCGAGACGCACGCCAGGAGGACCAAGGGGCUGCAGAAGAAGGCGUCGGAGCUCGCCACGCUCUGCGCGGUCCCGGUCGCGCUCGUCUGCUCCGCCGGCAAGGGUGCUCCGCCGCUCGUGUGGGAGUCGGAGGAGGGAGUGCUCGAGAGGUACCGGCGCGCCGUCCCGGCCGAGACCCGCGCGCGGCACACGCACCGGAGCUACAUGGAGACGGAGCUGGGCAAGGAGAGGGCCAAGCUCGCCCGGGUGCGGCACGGCUGCCCCGGCGCGCUCGCGGACUGGGACGCCGCGCUCAACGACAUGACGCUGGAGGAGGCGCGGGGGCUGCUCGAGACCAUCGACGCGGCGCUGCGGGCCACGGGAGACAGGAUGGAGGCGCUGGGCAUACCUGCCGACGGCGGCCACGACCGGCUCGAGGGUUCUUCCCACGACGCCCUCAUGCCGCAGCAGCGCGGGUACGGUGUCGGCAACCCCGUGGACAUGGACGCCGCCGGCUUCCAGCAGCUGCAGAUGGUGCCGUUCCACGCUGGGAACAACGACGGCCUACUCGAGCAAUUCUCAUUGGACGAUCCCUUCGAGACGCAGCCAGGGUGCCGCGGCUUCCAAUGCGUCGGCGGCAACUACUCGGGCGGCGGCGACGCGAUGCUCUCGCCAGGCCUUGCCAAUGCCGACUACAACUACUCGGGUGGCGGCGACGAGAUGCUCACGCUAGGCCUCGCCAAUGCUGACUACAACUACUCAGCCAGCGGCGACAAGAUGCUCGCGCCGGGAUUCGCCAAUGCUGACUACAACUACUCGGCCGGCGGCGACAAGAUGCUCGCGCGGGGCAUCGCCAAUGCUGACUACAACUACUCGGCUGGCGGCGACGAGAAGCUCGCACUAGGCCUUGCCAAUGCUGACUACAACUACUCGGGCGGCAACGACAAGAUGCUCGCGCAGGGCUUCGCCAAUGCUGACUACAACUACUCGGGCAGCGGCGACGAGAUGCUCGCGCCUGGCUUUGGCAAUGCUGACUACGACUGGACUGAUCUGACCAUGUGGGCCACCGACGAGUUGUGCGAUGCAAUCAUGCCACUUGGGUGCUACCCUGACUUCGCGGACAGUACUCUGCCGGCCGAGUACUCCGCUCAGGUCAUCACCGGCGGGGACUACGUGAACACACCACCAUCUGGCGGGUAUGGGUACCCCAUGGACAUGGGCGUGGGCGACAACUUCAGUAAUCUCGACAGCAACUACAUGGCGCACUGGCAGUUCCAGCGCUUCGACACAAGCAGUCUGUUGUUAGGGGAAAUGCAGUCAUAA
rnacentral:rRNA from 1 species